rnacentral:lncRNA from 1 species
GCAAGGCCUCACUAAAGUGGAUGUAUCCUAUAACAAGCUAGAGGGCCCCAUUCCUGACGUCAAAGCCUUUCGCGAGGCACCAUUUGAAGCAAUUCGCAACAACACCAACCUGUGUGGCAAUGCAACUGGUUUGGAGGCUUGUUCUGCUCUCAUGAAAAACAAAACUGUGCACAAGAAGGGCCCCAAAGUUGUCUUUUUGACAGUAUUUUCUCUGCUGGGUAGUUUGUUGGGCCUGAUUGUAGGUUUUCUUAUCUUUUUCCAAAGCAGAAGAAAGAAAAGGUUAGUGGAAACACCACAAAGAGAUGUUACCGCGAGAUGGUGCCCUGGUGGGGAUCUGCGCUACGAGGACAUCAUUGAGGCUACUGAGGAAUUCGACUCCAAAUAUUGCAUUGGUACUGGAGGGUAUGGAGUUGUAUACAAAGCUGUACUUCCAUCAGAACAAGUCCUUGCCGUGAAGAAAUUCCACCAAACACCAGAAGUGAGAUGAGCAGCUUGAAAGCUUUUAGAAGCGAGAUUGAUGUCUUAAUGGGUAUACGGCAUCGAAACAUUGUGAAGCUGUAUGGUUUCUGCUCGCAUGCCAAACACUCAUUUUUGGUAUAUGAAUUUGUGGAAAGGGGAAGUUUAAGAAAGGUACUGAACGACGAGGAACAAGCAGGAAAGAUGGAUUGGGAUAAAAGGAUGAAUCUUAUCAAAGGCGUAGCCAAUGCUUUAUCCUACAUGCACCAUGACUGCUCCCCUCCGAUUAUUCAUAGAGACAUUUCCAGCAACAAUGUUCUUUUGGAUUCAGAAUAUGAGGCUCAUGUCUCUGACUUCGGCACAGCAAGGCUCUUAAUGCCUGACUCGUCCAAUUGGACAUCAUUUGCUGGCACCUUUGGGUACACAGCUCCAGGUAUGUAGUUAAGUUUCAAUAUCACUUGAAAACAAAAUAGGUGCAGUAAAUUAUUUUGGCAAAGCAUAGCAUGACCAGCCUCUUUUGCAGAGUUGGCAUACACAAUGAAAGUGGAUGAGAAGUGUGAUGUGUAUAGCUUUGGAGUAUUAACAUUAGAAGUAAUGAUGGGAAAGCAUCCUGGCGAUUUCAUCUCAUCUCUGAUGUUAUCUGCCUCCACCUCCUCAUCAUCACCAAUUGGUCACAAUACAGUCUUGAAGGAUGUCUUAGACCAGCGCCUCCCACCUCCUGAAAACAAGCUUGCGGACGGUGUGGCACAUGUUGCAAAACUGGCGUUAGCUUGCUUGCAGACCGAUCCUCACUAUCGGCCAACAAUGCGACAGGUUUCUACAGAGCUUACAACUCGAUGGCCUCCAUUGCCAAAGCUAUUCUCCACGAUGGAAUUGGAAGAUAUAAUGGUUCGCAGAAAUGUUAUUGGCUGAAUUUUUACAGUAUACUUUCCUGUCAAGGAGCCAGUAGCUCUGAUCAGCUGGUAAUUGAGUCCCCCUCCUCUCAAGAGGUGUUAUUGCCAGUCUUGGAUAUUCAGUCCAAAGUCUUACAUUUCGUCUAUUUCUUCGCCUACUGCUUGUGUAUAUUAAAUGCAAGAAACAGAGUUUUCUCAUUUCGAACUUAAAUUCGCCAGAUGAAAUAUUUCACAUAUUUUUAGUUUUCGUGAGCAACAAUGGAAGAAAUCAACAUAUUUUCUCCUCUUUUUUUUUCCCAAUAAACGAAAAUGAAUUAUAAUAAGCUAUUGGUUAUAUUUAUUUUUAAUUGGUAAUGAUAAUAAGCUUCUUUCAAUAUAGCCAUAUUAGUAAUAUAACUAAAAAUAUGACGAUUUAAUAAAAACCACUCCCAUUAAUUUCCACAAUCAAACAAAACUUGUUCUAAAAGAAGUGGCCAAUGCUUUCUAUUUUCUUAAAUAAUUGACAAAUUUUCCAAAUUUGAGAUUUCAUAGCGAAUGUCACCAUUGAUAGGUGAAGCCCAAAGACAAGGAUUUUUUAUUUUUUUUUCUCAAAGGAAACUUCCCUUCAAGAAUGGCAAACUUCGUACAGUUGUCGUGUCAUUACUAUUCAAAAGGAAAUUCUGGACUGAAAAAGACAACCAGAACCAUAGCAUCAUUACCUAAGAAACUUGUCCCUGCUAAUCAGAUUCUUCUCGCAAGCAGGUACUGGCAAAACUAAAUUUAAUUAUUUACUAUUCAUAAAUAAUAAAUAAUUUAAUUAUAUUUAUCAUAUAUUUUAAAAUAUUGUAAUAUCUAUUAUAACUAUAUUUAUUUAUAUCAUCUUUAUUAUUUUUAAACAGAAAUGGUGAUCUCUUUUACACAUUAAAAAUACCUAACUCAAAUUUUAUAAAUUUUAAUAGCUUUUCAACUUUAUAACCGGAGCUUAAGAUUUUUUAUUGAUUAAAAUUUAAAAUUGUUUAUUAUAAAACUAAAAUACAAAAAAAAGUAAUAAAAAAUAAAUACUGUAUUUAUUAUCCAGAAUUUGAGACCAUUGACUGUGACAUUAGUAACCUUUGUUCUUGCAUUGGUGAUGGGCUUGAGGGUGAAUGUGAAAUUGAAAAUAACCAUUUUGGACUAAACGACGCCGUUUCGUGUCCACUAUUCAUCACCUUCUUCGUGGAUUAAUUCAGCAGAAAGGAAACUGCCUCAAACCGGUUGCAAUCAUGUACCACGUCUCCUACACGAUGCAUCUCCAAAUAUGCCUCACCCCCAUGAUCAUUGUCUGGGCAGAAAGAGAGGACAUUCAGAGAAAAGACCACAAAAAAGGGGUCGCCGAGCGUUCUGGAAGGGGGAGAGACGGUAGAAAAAAACGAAAAAACCAGAGGAGGAGAGAACGAACAAGGGGGGGUUUUUUUCGGAAGCUGAGAAAAAUCACAGAAAACAGAGAGAACACAAACAGAGGAGGAAAAAAACCAGAGAACAGGGAUGUAAACAGAGGACAGACGAAAACAAAAGAAAGGGAAUAAAGGCCAGAGAGAAAGACCAGAACAGUUGUGAUGAUUCAACAGGAUUAAGAACAACUGAAUUUUAUUCCAAGUGAAUACUGUCACUUUUACAGAAGCUUUAAGUGCCAAAAAGAGUAAUACAAGGUAUAUUUGAUGAUCAAAAUAGUAUCAAUGACUGAAAAUAAAUUGAAAUUGGACUUGGCUAGGAUGGGAGCAAAUUCACCUGAAUUUCUCUCUUUUCACACACACAAAGUGUAUUGUUCUUCUUCUCUAGUUUUUCAUUCGGUUACAGUGCAUUAUAUGCAUGCAAAGUGCUCGUCCGUACUUGUAAUAAAAGGCUUUACAGGUUUCUUACACGUGUCUAUUGACACGUUACUAAUUGAAAAAUGAAACGGUGCAUUUGUGAAUUCAACUCUUUUCCUGCUAUGGCUCUGUUCAAAUCUAUUCCCCUGUUUCUUCAAGAUUCAUCGUUAGAAGAGUUACUGUUGGCAGCAUGUAACAACAGGAGGACACAACUCGAGGGGACGAACAGCACAGGGGAGACCUGGAAACGCAAACAGAGGCGAACGAACAGAAACAAACCUGGAAAUAAAGAACAAAGAAAGCAAAAGAAAAGCAAGAAGAGGGGAGGGUAACAGAAGCAGAAGGGAGGGUAACAUCAGCUAGAAAGAACAAGCCUCCAUCAGGGGAGGGUAAUAGAAACUGUGAACAAGGAAUUUGAAAAUUGGACUGCAAAUCAGUAUUUCGGGUAUGGUUUUUUCUCAUAUCGUUUUAAACAAGAAAAUCUACUUUUGGAAUUGUUUUUGUUUGGGUAUGCUAGCUAAACGUCAAGCUAUUAAAAAGAUGCUUAUUCACCAUGAGAUUGAUGUUUAUUUUCUACUUGAGACUAAGCCGGCAGCCUGCACAGAUAAAUUUUGUCAACUUUCUGUGGAAUGAACAGAAUAUUAGAUGGACUUCUAUAGAUGCUGUUGGGAAAUCCGGUGGUGUUUUCGUCUUAUGGAAUGAUAAGAACUUCAGAGUUAACUCAAUAGAAUAUGGGGGACAGUGGAUUGCUAUCUUUGGUGUUCAUUCUUCUUCAGUUUUUAAAAACGACGAACUUCCUAGAAUGAGCUUACCAUGCUAAAAUCAGCCUUUGAAGUUCUUAGUAGGGGACUUUAAUGAGACCUUACACCCAAGUGAAAGGAGUAGUGGGUUCUUAAAUGUUACUGGUUCAAAGUCCUUCAAGUCUUUUCUUUCUAAUUGCGACUUCCUUGAGUAUCCUCUUGCUGGGCAUCGUUAUACAUGGUUUGGGGCAGAUCAAUGAGCAGAAUAGACAGAAGUCUUGCAUCUCCAUCUUGUCUCUUAGAAUUACCUUUACUGUCUUUGACUAGAUACCCCUAGAGGACUGUCCGGUCCCUGUCAUUUAGUUCUUGGCCAGAUUCGUGAGAAUUGGGGGUGGAGGCCAUUUUGUUUUAUGAAUUGCUGGACUGUCUUGCCACGAUUCAUGAAAGAUCUGGAGACUUUCUGGAGAUAAUGCGAGCUAAAACAUCCUGGAAAUUUCGCACUGGUUAAGAAAUUGAGUUUGUUGGCGCAUAAAUUUCGAACCUGUAACCAUGAUGUCUUUGGUAAUCAGGAUAACAGGCUUCGGGAGUUGCAGGAUAAAAUACAUAAGUUGGAAGAAGAGAUGGAGGUCCGUGACCUAUCAGAAACUGAGAGGAUCGAAUUAUAUGCCUUAAACAGACAACAAUGGGAUGUUAGCAAACAUGUUGAAGCUAUUUGGAGGCAAAAAUCAAGAAAGAACCGGUGUAAAUUAGGGGACAGGAAUGUUAAACUAAUUGAGAUCAAACACAAAAAGGAGGCUAGAAUUCUGAAUCAACUGUAUAUUAUGAAUGCAUAGUCUUAACCUAAUUAUAAAUAAAGUAUAUAUAGGUUAAACUGAAAGUACUAUUCUACCCUUAAUAAAUAAGACAACAUAAAUAUUAUUUAACAUCUCCCCUCAAACUCACAAUGCGGCAGCUACAAGCAUCGAGAGUUUGCCAACUAGAAAACGAAAACGAGAUAUGGAAUGCGCCUUGGUAAAGAAAUCUGCAAUCUGCAAUGAAAAAGGAACAAAAGGCAAAGUAAUGGUUCCAUGCUUGAGAUGAUGACGAGUAAGAUGACAAUCGAUUUCAAUGUGCUUAGUCCGCUCAUGAAAAACCGAGUUGUGAGCAAUCUGAAUAGAACUCUGGUUGUCACAAUACAUAGGAGUAGGAUGGGAAAAGGAAACUCCCAUAUCAGCAAGUAACCAACGUAACCAAAUAAUCUCUUUGGUAGUAGAUGCAUGGCACGAUAUUCUGCUUCGGUGGAUGAUUGAGAAACAAUAGAUUGUUUCUUGCUCUUCCAAGAAAUAAGAGAAUCACCUAAAAAGAUACAAAACCCGGUAACAGACUUGCGAUCUGUGGGAUCACUACCAUGAUCAGCAUCAGAGUAUGCACGCAACUCCAAGGAAGAGGUGGAUGAAAGUAAAAGACUUUGAAAAACUGUACCCCGAAGAUAUCGCAAAAUACGAAGAACAGCUGCCCAAUGAACAGUAGUAGGAGAAGCAACAAACUGACUAACAACAUGAACAGCAUAUGCAAUAUCUGGACGAGUAAUGGUGAGAUAUACCAAACUCCCAACAAUAGUGCGGUAUAAAGUAGGAUCUAUCAAAGGUAAACCAUCAGAAGAAGAGUACCUUGCGUUAACCUCAAUAGGAGUAUCCACAGUCUUGUUAUCAGUAAGUCUAGCCCGCUCAAGAAUAUCUGCAACAUAUUUCGACUGAGAAAGAAGGUAACCUCUAGGUGAGUAUGCUACCUCAAUACCCAGGAAAUAUCGAAGAUAACCCAAAUCCUUCAUCUCAAAUCGUCUAGCCAACUCUGUCUUCAAAACUGAAAUACCAUCAAUGUCAUCACCAGUAAUAAUCAUGUCAUCAACAUAUAAAGACAGAAUGAUACGACCUGCAUCAGUGCACUUAAUAAAAAGAGCAGAAUCAUGACUGCUAGAAACAAAGCCAAGUGACGAGAUCACAAUAGAGAAUUUCUCAAACCAAGCACGGGUGCUUGUUUGAGACCAUAUAAUGCUUUCUUAAGCUUACAAACAUAUCCAGAGUCAUGUGAAAUACCAGGAGGGGGUGCCAUAUAAACUUCUUCUUGAAGAUCUCCAUUCAAGAAGGCAUUUUUAACAUCAAGUUGAGAAAUAUGCCAUUGACGAAUCGAAGCUACGGCAAUAAGAGUACGAAUAGUAGUCAUUUUUGCAACCGGAGCAAAUGUCUCCUCAUAGUCCAUACCAUACUGUUGAGAGUAUCCUUUGGCAACCAACCUAGCUUUAUAUCGCUCAAUAGACCCAUCAGAAUUAGUCUUGAUCUUAUACACCCAACGACAACCAACAACACUCUUACCAGGAGGUAGAGGAACCAGAUCCCAAGUAUCUGUCUUAUGCAAUGCAGAAAGUUCCUCAUCCAUAGCUUGCUGCCAAAGCGGAUCAAGAAUUGCCUCUUUAUAGGAAGAGGGCUCAACAAGACAAUGAAUAGAGGCUAAAAAGGAAGUAAAUGAUGAAGAAUAACAAGAAUAAGCAAAAUCUGGUAGUUUUGUGGACUUACGAAUACGGAUGGACUGACGUGGAGGUGGAUCCACAAUCUCAGAUGAAGCUUGAGGGGCUGUAGAUGAGAAUGGAGCUUCAGGUGUGCCAGAGAGUAAAGUACCAGUACCUGCAGAGUUAUGAGUACAAAUUGAUCGAACAUGGGGAGAGCUAUCAUUACCAGAAUCCUCAGAAAAUGGAUCUAUACUAAUAAGAUCAGAUUUAGUCAGGUUAUGAGUAGUGGAUGGAAUAGAAAAGAAAGGUAUAUGCUCAAGGAAGACAACAUGACGAGACACAUAAAGUUUCUGAGUUAUUGGAUCAAAACAACGAUAACCCUUUUUACCUUCACCAUAGCCCAAAAAGACACAAAUAGCGGAUCGAGAGGAUAGCUUACUUCGUUCUACAUGAGGACGAAGAACGAAACAAGUACAACCAAAGACUCUAAAUGAGGAAUAAUCAGGGACAUACCCAUAUAACUUUUCAAAAGGAGAUAGACCCGAACUAUGAGAAGAUGGAAUUGUAUUAAUCAAGCUUACAGCAGUAAGAACAGCUUCUCCCCAAAACUCACUAGGAACAAAAGCAGACAACAAGAGAGAACGAGCAGUUUCGACAAUGUGCCUAUGUUUUCUUUCAGCAACACCAUUUUGCUCAGGAGUAUCUGUACAUGAAGUUUGGUGGAUGGUUCCAUCUAGGGCAAGCAAUUGGCAAAAUUUAUUAGAAGUGUAUUCCCCACCUAAAUCACACCUAAAGCAUUUGAUCACAGUAGAAUAUUGAGUUUUGAUAAGAGCUCGAAAAGCUGCAUAUAUCUCAAAGAAUUCAGAACGAUGUUUCAUUAAAUAAACCCAACAAUAACGAGUAUGAUCAUCAAUAAAAGAGACAUAAUAUCGAGACCCUCCUUUUGUGGCAACAGGAGAAGGUCCCCAUACAUCAGAAUGAAUCAAAUCAAAUGGUGAAGAAGAAACAGAAAUACUUCGAUUAAAAGGUAAGGCGGAAAAUUUUGCCAAUUUACAUCCACUACAAUCAGAAAUGUCACAAGUUUUCAAAUUUCCUAAAGCUCCUGUGGAUGCCAAAAAUCUCAAACGAGAAGACGAAACAUGACCUAGACGGGAAUGCCAUAAAUAAAAACUAGAAGAUGAAAUACUCAAACGAAAGGAAGACAAAUCAACUGUAGUAGUAGCAGCGGCAGCAGCAGCAACUGACACUUUUAACUCAUCCAAAAUAUAUAGUCCAUUCUCCCUACGGCCUGUCCCAAUCAGCUUCUGAGACUGCAGAUCCUGUAUACAACAAAAGGAACCAGAAAACAUGACUAAAUAAUCACCAGAAUCACAUAUUUGACCAACAGACGCAAGAUUCAAUUUGAGUUGUGGAAUAAGAUAAACAUUAGGGAGAGACAUGUGAGGUGUGACAACAGAACCAACACCUGCUAAGGGCAUUUGAGUGCCAUCAGCAGUCAUAACAGGAAUGGAGGACAAAGGGGAUACAGAGGUAAAAGAUGAGGAAUCUGGAGACAUAUGAUGAGAAGCACCAGAAUCCAAGACCCAUUCAGAAUGUGACAUACCUGAGGAACUAUGAGGCAACUGACCUAUGGAAGAAGAAGCGGACAUUGCUUGUGGCUGCAAGGAGAGAAACUUCUGAAAUUGCUCAGCCAAAAUAUUAGGAUCGGUAAUAGAACUCGAGGAAGCUACUGCUGCAGUAUUGUGGUGUUGUGGUUUAUAACCCUGAGGUGGUCUAUGAGCAUUAGAUUGUGACUGAUUGCCAGGCUUCCAAGCUUGAUUCUGAUGUCUCAACUUAGGACACUGAGCCUUCCAAUGACCUUUCUGCUUACAGAAGCUGCACUCAUCGAAGCCAACCCUUGUGUGAGACUUAUUCUGAUGAUUAGAGAAUGACCUAGAAGGUACUGCUAGUACAAAGGAUUUGAAGCAGAAAGAAUUCCUUUUUCAGAAUAAGACUGAAAACGUAUUUCUUCAGCCAAUAACUCACUGACAACAGAGUCAACAGAAGGCAGUGGAGAACGAUGCAGAAUUGAACCUCUAAGUCCUUCGAAAUCACUGCGAAGUGCUGUUAAAAACUGUACCAAUCUUUGCUGCUCUCUACGCUCAAUAUAGGCACCACAUGCCUUUAAUUCUGUCGAUUCUGUAAGAGCCAAUUGAUCCCAAAGAUCUGUCAUAGCAGAAUAAAACUCUUGAAUACUCAUAUUCUUCUGAUGAAGAGCUCGUAUGUCAUUCUCUAAUUGAUACUGUUUUGCAAAAUUUGAUUGUGUGAAUAACCUUUGCAGAUGAUCCCAAACCUCUUUUGUGUCUCAUAUUUCGCCAACUGCGUACCUAUUGAAUGCUCAACAGAAUUGUUGAUCCAAGUAAUGAUCUUUGCAUUAUUUGCUUCCCAUGUAUCUAUCAAACCAGCAUCCCCCUCCUCAAUAUUCUUAGGUAUCACAUAAGUUCCACUAACAUACCCCCACAUCUUCUUACCCUUAAGGAAAUUUCUCAUUACAUAACUCCAAUAUGAAUAGUUCUUCCCAUCCAACCUCACACUCACAGACUGAAGCGAAUCAUCUCUUUCAGUAGCCAUAAUCAACAAUCACAAAUAACCAGAAUGCAAAAGCAGCGAAAGACAAAAUACUCAAUUGCAGAAACUAAACAAAUAUCUUCUCAAAAUUAUACGAUUACUCCCAAAACACAAAACAAAUUUGCAAAAAACUGAACGCAGAUACCAAAUUGCAGAAGCUGAAGGGAAGACGAAAUACCAAAAUAAUUGCAGAAACUGUCGAAAUACCAAAAUAAUUGCAGAGACUGUCGAAAUACCUAAUUUUGCAAAAGCGGAAGACAAAAUAUCACUCCAAAAAAAAAAAGUUGGAUCCGCGAAGCUGUAUUUGGGAUUAAGCUUCGUUCCAUAAAACCAGCUCUGAUACCAUGUGAAACUAAUUGAGAUCAAACACAAAAAGGAGGCUAGAAUUCUGAAUCAACUGUAUAUUAUGAAUGCAUAGUCUUAACCUAAUUACAAAUAAAGUAUAUAUAGGUUAAACUGAAAGUACUAUUCUACCCUUAAUAAAUAAGACAACAUAAAUAUUAUUUAACAAGGAAUACAAAGUUCUUCCAUCUAGCUGCAAAAGUUAUUCUCUAAACCCAAGACAACAAGGGUUUCAAUGGGAGCCAUGGGUUAAAGACACUAUCUAUGGAGCAAUCCAUUUGGCCGGAGAAGGAUGCAACUACAGAGGAGGUAAAGCUGUUUGGGACUAUGAUGGGUCAAAGGUUUCAAGACCAGAUGGAUUUACUUUUACUUUCUCAUGUAACUAUCUAGAAAAAUAAAAUUUUCAGAUGGUGAAUAUUGAAUUCUUCAGGCAUGCUAAGCUUCCAAUGGGUGUCAACACUUCUUAUAUUGCUCUUUUACCGAAACCCAAGCUACCUACCGGAUUUUCACAGUAUAGACCAAUUAGUCUGUGCAUGUUUUAUACAAAAUUAUAUACACAUGCAGGGCAAAUCAUUUUUUAUAUAUCCUCCAUAAGAAAUUAAACCACCAAGGCCAUGGCUUCCCAAAUCUUGCUCUCAUCCAUACCCACGUUAAUUCAAAAAAAAAAAAAAAGAGUUUUCCCAUUUCGAACUUAAAUUCGCCAGAUGAAAUAUUUCACAAUGGAAGAAAUCAACAUAUUUUCUCCUUUUUUCUGUUUUCCAAUAAACGAAAAUGAAUUAUAAUAAGCUCUUGAUUUUAUUUAUUUUUAAUUGGUAAUGAUAAUAAGCUUCUUUCAAUAUUGCCAUAUUAGUACAACAACUAAAAAUCUUGCUCUCAUCCAUACCUUUGUUGUUUAUUUCUUUACUUGCUUAUGCUUCCUUCCUUAUUUCUUUUGCUUACUGAUCAGCUACUGGAGCUGAAGUAGCAAAUGGAAGGACACAAGCAGAAGCUCUUCUAAGAUAUUAAAACGGGAAAAUGUAUUAAAUAAUAAAUUCUUGUUUCUUAUUCGAAACAAGAAUGCCUUGUUUUUUUUUUUUUUUGGAAAAAAUAUUUUUUUCAAAAACAUGAAGAAAAAUAAACACGCGAUUCACAUCCAAGUCAAGGACCGACAGUAUACAAAUAGUCUUCAUCUCUUAAUAAUCAGGAGUCAUGGAAUGGUGGGGUACAAGCUAGAUAUUAUUAAUUGUAAAGUUCGGAUUUCCACAUCGUAGAUAAAACCUAAAAUAAUUCGGGUAAUUAAGGGAGAGAGAUAGAGUUAGAUUUGUUGUUUAACACAAGCAAUGAAAAACUAGGAGAAAAAACAAGAAAAAUAUAUAAAAAUGCUUGAAGGAUGAUCACCCAAUGCAGGGUUUAGUAUUUUUUUUUAAUCAUGGAAUAUAAUAAUCUUGUUAUAUAAGCACAUAAUGGUGCAAAAUAAUAUAUCUCUUGUAUUUCAUAAAAAAAAAAAAUCAACCGAGAAUUAAUGGAUCCAUAGCUGAAACCCCAACAUAAAUAUUCUAAUAAUUAAUUAUGACAAAUACACGUGCUCCUCCUAUCACGCAAUUAUUGAAUGGAAGACCAUAAUAUUCUACACCUCUUCAGACGCAACUGUCUAUCUUCUUUUUACAUAAGAAAUUUUCGAUCAAGGAAAGUUUCCACCUUGUGACUCCCAUGUAUAAAUGUAUGCAGGGGACUUAAUUGAAAAAAAAAGUAAAGCUUCUUUUUUACCAUCCAAUUAUAAUAGUCAUAACAUGAGAAGAAAACUUUUUUUUUUUUUGAGACAUGAAAACUAAAAAUCCCUAAUAAUAAUAAAUAAAAUAAAAUAAAUCUUUAAAUAAAAAAUAACUAUAUUUGUUAUUAAUCAGAACCUUCAAAAAUAAAAACAUCAUAACUAUGUGGAGACACAUAAGAUGUUUAAAUUUUAUUUGCGAAAGUUUUGUUUUUAUUAAAAUAUUAAUUAUUACUAUAAAAAAAAUAGAAAACUUUAAUAAUACCGAAUAAAGUAUUAGCCAUGGUUUUGCACUUUUGCAUUGCCCCCUAAUUGCACCUUUAUGGUUUUAAAUUAAAGAAAACUUCGAUAUAAAUGUCAUUCCAAUAUUGUUUCUAUAAAAAAAAAUAACAAAAGCAUAACAGACCAAAGAAUAAGUUUUGAUUCAUUUGAUUGAUAAGAGACCAAAGAAAGGAAGAAGGAUAUAACAAAAGCAUUAACGACGUGAAUGUUGUUCCACGCUCGAAAUUUCAUGGGAAACAUCACCGUAGGUCCAUAGCUGAAGCCCGAAGACAUCCAAUCAAGAAUAGAAGACGUCCAAUUAAGACGCAGCUUCUUAAGAAAUCUUCGAUCAUGACCAAGACAAAUGAAUUCCUGCAUAUAUAUACGUAUGCAGGGCAAAUCAUUUUAUACAUCCUUUUUAAGAAAGUAAACCACCAAGGCCAUGGCUUCCCAAAUCUUGCUCUUAUCCAUACCUUCUUUGUUUUUUUCCUUACUUGCUUAUGCUUCCUUCUUUCCUUCUUUUGCUUACUCGGCUGCGGAACCUGAAGUAGCAAAUGGAAGGAAGGAAGCGGAAGCUCUUCUAGAAUGGAAAGUCACUCUUGACAACCAAAGCCAGUCUCUCCUGUCUUCUUGGGCUGGAGACAGCCCUUGCAACUGGGUUGGAAUCAGUUGCGACAAGUCUGGAAGCAUCACUACCAUAAGUCUUCCUAAUUCUAGUUUGAGAGGUACCCUAAAUAGUCUUAGAUUCUCUUCCUUUCCUAACUUGAUUGAGCUUAUCCUUCACAACAACUCGCUCUAUGGGUCCGUUCCUUCACAUAUAGGUAACCUUGUCAAACUUGACCUGUCUUCAAAUAGCAUUUCUGGCAACAUACCACCAGAAGUUGGAAAAUUGGGAUCUCUUGAUUUGCUUGAUUUGUCAAAUAACAACCUUAGUGGUGCUCUUCCUACGUCCAUAGGAAACUUAAGUAAAUUGUCAUAUCUUUACCUUUACGGCAACGAACUCUCUGGUUUCAUACCUAGGGAAGUAGGAAUGCUUGAACAUCUAUCUACCCUUCAGUUGCUCUAUAAUAAUUUUGAAGGUCCAAUCCCUGCUUCCAUAGGAAACAUGAGAUCUCUCACCACUUUACUUUUGUCAUAUAAUCAUCUAACUGGCGCAAUACCAGCAUCUUUAGGAAACUUAGGAAACCUGACUACCCUUCAGUUGCUCCAUAAUAAUUUAGAAGGUACAAUCCCUGCUUCCAUAGGGAACAUGACAUCUCUCACCAGUUUACUUUUGUCAUUUAAUCAUCUAACUGGGACAAUACCAACAUUUUUAGGAAACUUAGGAAACCUGACUACCCUUCGGUUGUCCUAUAAUAAUUUUGAAGGUCCAAUCCCUGCUUUCAUAGGAAACAUGAGAUCUCUCACCAGUUUAUUUUUGUCAUCUAAUCAUCUAACUGGUGCAAUACCAGCAUCUCUAGGCAAUUUAAGUAGCUUAUCUAGACUUGACCUUUCGCAUAACAGUCUUUUUGGUACGUUUCCUCCAGAAAUGAACAACCUUACACAUUUGUAUUUGUUACAAAUAGAUUCUAAUAGAUUGUUUGGUAAUCUACCACGAGAUGUGUGCCUUGGUGGAUUACUUUCAUAUUUUUCAGCAUUUGAAAAUUAUUUCACGGGACCUAUCCCAAAAAGCUUGAGAAAUUGCAGUAGCUUGUUGAGACUCAGACUUGAGAGAAACCAACUUAGUGGAAACAUAUCUGAAGCUUUUGGCACACAUCCUCAUUUGUACUACAUGGAUUUGAGUGAUAAUGAAUUGCACGGUGAACUUUCAUUGAAAUGGGAGCAGUUUAACAAUCUGACCGCCUUCAGAAUUUCUGGAAACAACAUAUCUGGAGAGAUACCAGCUGCUCUUGGAAAGGCAACUCAUCUACAAGCUCUUGACCUCUCGUCAAAUCAACUGGCUGGGAGAAUUCCCAAAGAAUUGGGAAAUUUGAAGUUGAUUGAACUUGCACUCAACGAUAACAGACUUUCAGGUGAUAUUCCUUUCGAUGUCGCAUCGCUAUCUGAUCUAGAAAAGCUUGGCCUGGCAGCGAACAAUUUUAGUGCAACAAUUCUUAAACAGCUUGGCAAGUGCUCAAAACUGAUAUUCUUGAAUAUGAGCAAGAAUAGAUUCACAGGGAGUAUUCCUGCCGAGAUGGGGUCUUUACAGUCUCUUCAAAGUCUUGAUCUCAGUUGGAAUUCCCUCAUGGGAGAUAUAGCGCCAAAGCUUGGACAGCUGCAGCAGCUAGAGUUUCUGAACCUCUCCCACAAUAUGCUGUCUGGUCUCAUUCCAACCAGUUUAAGUAGACUGCAAGGCCUCACUAAAGUGGAUGUAUCCUAUAACAAGCUGGAGGGUCCCAUUCCUGACAUCAAAGCCUUUCGCGAGGCACCAUUUGAAGCAAUUCGCAACAACACCAACCUGUGUGGCAAAGCAACUGGUUUGGAGGCUUGUUCUGCUCUCAUGAAAAACAAAACUGUGCAUAAGAAGGGCCCCAAAGUUGUCUUUUUGACAGUAUUUUCUCUGCUGGGUAGUUUGAUGGGCCUGAUUGUAGGUUUUCUUAUCUUUUUCCAAAGCAGAAGAAAGAAAAGGUUAGUGGAAACACCACAAAGAGAUGUUACCGCGAGAUGGUGCCCUGGUGGGGAUCUGCGCUACGAGGAUAUCAUUGAGGCAACUGAGGAAUUCGACUCCAAAUAUUGCAUUGGUACUGGAGG